GACGAACGCUGGCGGCGUGCUUAACACAUGCAAGUCGAACGAAGUGGCGAAAGGGUGAGUAACGCGUAAUAAACCUGCCCUUCAGAGGGGGACAACAGUUGGAAAAGAAUGCUAAUACCGCAUACUGAAGGAGGGGAGUGCGUCUGAUUAGCUAGUUGGAGGGGUAACGGCCCACCAAGGCGGUGAUCAGUAGCCGGGCGGAGAGGAUGAACGGCCACAUUGGGACUGGGACACGGCCCAGACCCCUACGGGAGGCAGCAGGUGGGAAUCUUCCGCAAUGGGCGAAAGUCUGACGGAGCAACGCCGCUUGAGUGGUGACGGCCUUCGGGUUGUCAAGCUCUGUUAAUCGGGACGCGGUACCGGAAUAGAAAGCCACGGCUAACUCCGUGCCAGCAGCCGCGGUAAUAC
rnacentral:rRNA from 1 species